rnacentral:rRNA from 1 species
GUUAAAAAGCUCGUAGUCGGAUUUCGGUUAAGAGCGACCGGUCCGCCGUUUGGUGUGCACUGGUUGGUUUUAACUUCCUGUAGAGGACGUGCUCUGGGCUUAACGGUCUGGACUCGGAGUCUACGUGGUUACUUUGAAAAAAUUAGAGUGUUCAAAGCGGGCUUACGCUUGAAUAUUUCAGCAUGGAAUAACACUAUAGGACUCCUGUCCUAUUUCGUUGGUCUCGGGACGGGAGUAAUGAUUAAGAGGAACAGUUGGGGGCAUUCGUAUUUUCAUUGUCAGAGGUGAAAUCUUGGAUUAU